UGGGUCUAACUAAAUACCCUAAAGGCACCAGAUCCCAUCUGAUCUUGGAAAUUAAGUAGGGUCAGCCCUGGUUAGUAAUUGGAUAGGAGACUGCCAACAAAGCGCUGGGCUAUAUUUCA
rnacentral:rRNA from 1 species